CUCUGCGGAAGGCACUGCUCCUUCCUUUCCUUUCUAAAUCUCUCUCUGUCUCUCUCUCUCUCUCUCUCUCUCUCGCUCUCUCCUCCCCUAGUUUAUCCUGGACUCAUGCUGAGCUCAGCAACCCUUGAACUCAUUUUCUAUCUGACAUGUGAAAUAGUUCUUAGGUUUCAUUAAACAUUUGGAAAAUAAACGAGGUACUUCGCUCUGCCACUUUUCAGGUGCCAGUUUCAGUUCUGCUGUGUUACAGUAGUGCCUUUGCUGAGUUUGAAACUGGAUACUCCAAGCAAGUAGAUGCCUUUUCUUCAAACAUGCCAGGGAAAAACUUAAAUUACUUUAGCAAAAAUAACCUUUCUGCCAUCUUCAUCAAGUUAACACAGAAAACUGAUAUUUAGUCAUGAAGGAGCUUGAUUAAACUGUUUCACUUUAUCAUAUUACAUCUUGAUACAGCAAUUUUUUUUUUUUUUGGCUUGGCUGCCUUCUCCACGAGAUUUUAUGCUUCAUGAGGACGCUUUUUCUCAUCAUUAUAUCGUCAAUACAAUAAUCUUUUAUAAGAAAAUAAAUAAAGAAAGUCCAUGCAGAAAAGUCGUCUGAUCUAUGUUACAAGAAUAGUGAAUUCUUAUCAGGUUAAUAAAAUAUAAAUUGCAUUACUCAAGAGUUUUUAAUAACCAGUGGUUGUAAACUGAAUUUAUAUCAUGUAUCAUGUGUAAAUGUAAUAUUGAAUAUUGUUGUAAGUUUCAGGAUAGGAAUUAGUGUUCAGGCUGCAGUGAGUAAUUGCUACUUUUGUCAUCCUUUGGGUAACUCUUGGCCAGCUUGGGUCUGCGAAAUUGCCCCCUCCUUUGCAUUCAGCCCUGUCCUUGUUCUAGGAGUCUCCUCCCCCAACAUGCAGUGGGUCUAGCAUUGGUAUGUGAUUCUCUGUUCCUCCAGGGAACAGCCCUCCCUGCGGUCAU
rnacentral:lncRNA from 10 species